ACUGUUAGCGGCUGGCACAUUUUGUGGAUUUUUCUAUACCACCGUAAUUUAUCUCCCUUUUCUUGAAUGAAAUUUUUGAUCUAGUAAACAUAAUAAAGAGGGUAUUAUAUCCCAGAUAAUAUACACAACAAAAUGAGCGCGUGUACCGUGGAAGUCGUGAAAAUACUUGGAAAAUAUCUCAACGUACCGGUUGGCACUGCUUGCUACAGUACGGAAAAGGUAGUGACUGCGGUAAUUAACAAGCGAAGUGUCGAAGGCUUUGCUACGAUAAUUUUGCGUUUAGCGUCACAAAGCGGUGUACAAAUGACGCAAAAACAAACCUUGCUAUGCUACCAGUGGCUAGAACACAUCUCUAUGUAUGCCAACCAGGCAGCAGCUAACCCGGCAUUUGCUAAGAGUUUCCUACAAGAUAUUAAUAAAGCUUUGCAGAGAAACACAUAUCUAACCGGACAAUCAUUAAACAUUGCAGAUGUGGCUGCCUACCAUGUUUUAUAUCCUUUACUGGAGCGCCUUUCCAUCUCUGAAAGAGAGUCAUUGCUGCACCUCUGUAGAUGGUCAAAGCACAUCCAGGCUCAACCGAACGUGUGUGUCAACCGACCUCCUCUACCAAUGAACACCCUGACCCUCACUACAUUAGCUCCAGCCGUGCAUUAGUGUUGUAAGUAUGUAGCAAAGAGUUAUUAUUAGUCAAACAGGCAGUGUUGGCCCAAACGUUAAUGCAAUUAACCAUUCUUCUUCUUCCUCGGUCCCUCAUUGCUGAGGAUCGCGACCAUGUAUGCUCCGUCUCCAUAUGAGUCACGCACUGCAUGUUGCCGCCAACCACCCCCUUCACACCAUCAGACCAUCUCGUGGGUGCUUUUCCUUAACUAUUAACCAGUACAAAUUGAAACGUAAACUGUAACCGUCCGUUACGGUUUACGGUUCAAUUUGUACUGGUUAACGGUUAAUUGCAAUUAACGUUCGGCCAACACUGAAAAGAGGUAUGUAGUCAGAAAACUUUGAGCCUCAAAUUUGACAGCCAAAGUAGAUGUCGCUCUGCAGCCACAUUAAUUUAUGUGAAAUCACUGGUUGUCUAAAGUAGACAUUUUCAAUUUGGAUUAUUACAUAUUCAUUUUAUUGAAAACUUUGCACCACAUAACGCCAUCUAGAUAAGUUGUCAAAAUCUGGGGUACAUUUUUUUAUUACACUACAUCUCUUUUACAAUCAAUAACUGAAGUAAAUUAUUUGAUACCUAGUGAAAAGAUCUCUUGAGGAAUAAAAGUAUUUAGUUGAUUGACCUUGAAUGUAGGUAAUAAUAAUAAAAUGUAAGAUUCAAUUUAAAAUAAAUUAUUUCUUCCAUGAGAUUUGUUAUGUAAGUUAUAUGUUACAUUUUAUUUGAACACCUUAUCAGUUCCCCGUAUUUCAUGUAGUGAAUACAUUGCUGUAGCUAUGUUUCUGAUAUUAUUAUUUAGUACUUUUACCUUAUGUUUAUCAAGAAACUACAUGUUUUGUACCGGGGCGCCUUUGAACAUGGAUGGGCUCCCAAACCCAGUAUUACCACAUGAAAUUAGAAAUAUGACGAAAUUUAAUUCCU